UCCAUUCUAAACCCUAAUUCCCUCGCUCCCCAAUUGUAAAACACUUUCAUCUUCAAAAAUCCACCACCAGAUCUGGUGCAAAAUAACCUUCUGGACGUGGUUAAAGUUUUGUUCGCCAUGAAUCCAUCUCCUAUCUUCAAAGUUCGUGUAAUGGGUCCAUCUAUAUUCUCCCCCGAUUCAUUGAAGUGAACUACGUGAAUUUCCUAAAUCCCCAUGUAGCGGCUCUAAAGGGGAGAUUCUGGCACCCUUGUGGAAAAUAUCCUAAAUCGCUCCUGAUGAAGCGAUUUGUUCAAAUGGUACUGCGGUACCGGAAAAGGGGGAACCGCCUGCCGAGAAACUGUAAAACCUAGAAGUGGUGGCGGGCAACUACACCUCGCCUGUCUUUGUUUAAGACGUUUUACUAGACAUCGAGCCAGGACCAUGGACAGUGUUCGAUCUGGUCCGUACGGUCAGAUCUUCUGGCCGUGUAACUUUGUGUUCGGGCAGUCUGGUGCCGAAAUUGGGCGAAAGGUCAUUAUACGGAAGGAGUAGAGCUUAUUGAUUCUAUUCUUGACGUUGUUCGUAUUGAUUCCAUCUGGUGCUGAAAGAAAGUUUGAUUUUGCCCCUGUUCGUAUUUGAUGGACUGAUAGUUGCAUUAAAAUUGAAUUCAAUCACACAAAGAUCAUGAAGUUUUAGACGCCUUAUGUGUGAAGUAUAAGGAUCACAUGCAUCAAGCGAGUUUUGUUUGUUACUCUUAAGUUUUCUAUGAUCGCGAAGAUAAGGAAGCUUGAUGACUCACUUUUCUUUAAUGUGUUUUCUAAGGCCUACAUACAGGUUGGAAUCUCCAAGUUCUAAACUUUUAGGCAAUAUGUUGAUAAUAUCUGCGGGAGUUUUAUUAACAGGAAGUUGCAUUGUUAACUGAUGGGAAAUUUUCAGGUGGUUCUCAUGGAUAUGUUGUUGGACACAUUUGCCCUGAAGCACAGGAUUCUGUUCCAUGAUGUUAGGUGUGCAAGCUAGUUAUGUGUUGUGAAGGGAUGUGGCUUGACCCGUUCGAAAUAAGGCUUCAAAUGGAGGAGGCUUUACUUUCAUAGUACUAUAUUUAUCCGUUUAGUGUAAAAGAAAACUUUAUGUGGAUUGGUGAAUGUAUCGGAAAUAAGGGAAAGUAGUGCCAAAACAAAAGGAUAGACUUUGGAUUCAUUAUUUGCAAACAUGAAGAAGCAAAGGAUGAAUGUUUUAUCUCAGCAACAACACAUCAAUAAUGUGGGAGAAGAAAUGGACCUGGACAACCAAGGCAUAUGUUUUCUUCUAUAUGGCUAUUGAAGACCUUGAGAGGGAUCCACAUGAAGUAGUUGUUGCAUUAUUUGUAGAUAGCUUAU